UAAGAUAUCCGGAAAAAUUUUUGGCUUCACGGAAAAUUUUUGUAUGUCCGGAAAAAAAUUUUGACCCCUAAAAUGGUACACUGACCGAAAUUUUUUUGGCGACGGGGGGGGUCGCCAAAAAAUUUUGCAGUGAAAAAAAAAUUUUCAGUAAAGGUGCCCUUGGUGUGCGUCCGCCCCCCUUUGCCCUAUUAUCGUUCCGGCGUCCCUGUAAAU